CGAUGGUUCAUUCAAGUUUCUGCCCUAUCAACUUUCGAUGGUAGAGUAGUGGUCUACCAUGGUUUCAACGGGUAACGGGGAAUUAGGGUUCUAUUCCGGAGAGGGAGCCUGAGAAACGGCUACCACAUCCAAGGAAGGCAGCAGGCGCGCAAAUUACCCAAUCCCGACACGGGGAGGUAGUGACAAUAAAUACUGAUACAGGGCUCUUUUGUGUCUUGUAAUUGGAAUGAGUACAAUUUAAAUCCCUUAACGAGGAACAAUUGGAGGGCAAGUCUGGUGCCAGCAGCCGCGGUAAUUCCAGCUCCAAUAGCGUAUAUUAAAGUUGUUGCAGUUAAAAAGCUCGUAGUUGAACCUUGGGCCUGGCUGGCCGGUCCGCCUCACCGCGUGCACUGGUCCGGCCGGGCCUUUCCUUCUGGGGAGCCGCAUGCCCUUCACUGGGUGUGUCGGGGAACCAGGACUUUUACUUUGAAAAAAUUAGAGUGUUCAAAGCAGGCUAUGCUCGAAUACAUUAGCAUGGAAUAAUAGAA
rnacentral:rRNA from 1 species